rnacentral:tRNA from 1 species
UGGGCCCAGAGAGAUUCGAACUCCCGACAUCCUGCUUGUAAGGCAGGCGCUCUGACCAACUGAGCUAUGAGCCC